rnacentral:rRNA from 1 species
CACGUAGGGGGCGAGCGUUGUUCGGAAUUACUGGGCGUAAAGGGCAUGUAGGCGGCUCUAUAAGCCCGGCGUGGAAGCCCAUGGCUCAACCGUGGGAUUGCGCUGGGAACUGCAGGGCUUGAAUCAUGGAGAGGGAGCUAGAAUUCCUGGUGUAGGGGUGAAAUCUGUAGAGAUCAGGAAGAAUACCAGUGGCGAAGGCGAGCUCCUGGCCAAUGAUUGACGCUGAGGUGCGAAAGUGUGGGGAUCAAAC